rnacentral:rRNA from 1 species
GACGAACGCUGGCGGCGUGCCUAAUACAUGCAAGUAGAACGCUGAAGAGAGGAGCUUGCUCUUCUUGGAUGAGUUGCGAACGGGUGAGUAACGCGUAGGUAACCUGCCUUGUAGCGGGGGAUAACUAUUGGAAACGAUAGCUAAUACCGCAUAACAAUGGAUGACACAUGUCAUUUAUUUGAAAGGGGCAAUUGCUCCACUACAAGAUGGACCUGCGUUGUAUUAGCUAGUAGGUGAGGUAAUGGCUCACCUAGGCGACGAUACAUAGCCGACCUGAGAGGGUGAUCGGCCACACUGGGACUGAGACACGGCCCAGACUCCUACGGGAGGCAGCAGUAGGGAAUCUUCGGCCCUGGGGGCCGACCUGGCCGCGCCACGCCGCGUGAGUGAAGAAGGUUUUCGGAUCGUAAAGCUCUGUUGUAAGUCAAGAACGGGUGUGAGAGUGGAAAGUUCCCACUGUGACGGUCGCUUCCCAGAACGGGACGGCUCCCUACGUG